rnacentral:rRNA from 1 species
CAGGCCUAACACAUGCAAGUCGAACGCACUCUCGUUAGAUUGAAGAAGCUUGCUUCUGAUUGAUAACAUUUGAGUGAGUGGCGGACGGGUGAGUAACACGUGGGUAACCUGCCCUAAAGUGGGGGAUAACAUUUGGAAACAGAUGCUAAUACCGCAUAAAACCUAGCACCGCAUGGUGCAAGGUUGAAAGAUGGUUUCGGCUAUCACUUUAGGAUGGACCCGCGGUGCAUUAGUUAGUUGGUGAGGUAAAGGCUCACCAAGACCGUGAUGCAUAGCCGACCUGAGAGGGUAAUCGGCCACACUGGGACUGAGACACGGCCCAGACUCCUACGGGAGGCAGCAGUAGGGAAUCUUCCACAAUGGACGAAAGUCUGAUGGAGCAACGCCGCGUGAGUGAAGAAGGUUUUCGGAUCGUAAAACUCUGUUGUUGGAGAAGAACGUAUUUGAUAGUAACUGAUCAGGUAGUGACGGUAUCCAACCAGAAAGCCACGGCUAACUACGUGCCAGCAGCCGCGGUAAUACGUAGGUGGCAAGCGUUGUCCGGAUUUAUUGGGCGUAAAGCGAGCGCAGGCGGUUUCUUAAGUCUGAUGUGAAAGCCUUCGGCUCAACCGAAGAAGUGCAUCGGAAACUGGGAAACUUGAGUGCAGAAGAGGACAGUGGAACUCCAUGUGUAGCGGUGAAAUGCGUAGAUAUAUGGAAGAACACCAGUGGCGAAGGCGGCUGUCUGGUCUGUAACUGACGCUGAGGCUC